rfam:Alicycliphilus denitrificans K601, complete genome.
CCCGUGCCGGUGCGGGGGCGAAAGCCGCAGACCGGACGCGCCUUAGUCGGUGAGUGGCGCGGCGACAACGAACCCCGACAGCC